GGCGUGAUCGCCUUCACCACGAUGGUCAUGUUUGGCCGGAAGUCGGACUCGUACUGAACGCACAGCGCUGCAACCGCCGCCAGCUGAAGAUCAGGAAACACCAGUAAGUCCCUGUAGCAUAUAUAUAUGUAUCCAGCAAAAGAACUGCUGAGAAGUUGCUUGUUUGUUUUACCUUUGCAACCGCCUUUGGAGGGUAGUCGCUGUUGAGCUUCGGAUCGACACACUGCUUCACUUUGUCUUCGCUCAACCUUGGAGUGGCCUAACCAAUGCAAUGGCGUUCACAGUCAGUCAGGAGAUUACAGUCAGUCAACA
rnacentral:lncRNA from 1 species